GGAGGGGUGGCAGAGCGGCUGAAUGCACUGGUCUUGAAAACCAGCGAGGGUUAAUAGCUCUCCGAGAGUUCAAAUCUCUCCUCCUCCG
rfam:Psychromonas ingrahamii 37, complete genome.